GACGAACGCUGGCGGCGUGCUUAACACAUGCCAGUCGAACGGAAAGGCCCUGCUUUUGUGGGGUGCUCGAGUGGCGAACGGGUGAGUAACACGUGAGUAACCUGCCCUUGACUUUGGGAGAACUUCAGGAAACUGGGGCUAAUACCGGAUAGGAGCUCCUGCUGCAUGGUGGGGGUUGGAAAGUUUCGGCUGUUGGGGAUGGACUCGCGGCUUAUCAGCUUGUUGGUGGGGUAGGUGCUUACCAAGGCUUUGACGGGUAGCCGGCCUGGGAGGGUGACCGGCCACAUUGGGCCUGCGAGACGGACCAGACUCCUACGGGAGGCAGCAGUGGGGAAUAUUGCACAAUGGGCGGAAGCCUGAGGCAGCAACGCCGCGUGCGGGAUGACGGCCUUCGGGUUGUAAACCGCUUUCGCCUGUGACGAAGCGUGAGUGACGGUAAUGGGUAAAGAAGCACCGGCUAACUACGUG
rnacentral:rRNA from 1 species